UACGGGGGGGGCAAGCGUUGUUCGGAAUUACUGGGCGUAAAGGGCUCGUAGGUGGCCAACUAAGUCAGACGUGAAAUCCCUCAGCUUAACUGGGGAACUGCGUCUGAUACUGGAUGGCUUGAGUUUGGGAGAGGGAUGCGGAAUUCCAGGUGUAGCGGUGAAAUGCGUAGAGAUCAUGAGGAAGACCAGUGGCGAAGGCGGGUCUCUGGACAGUUCCUGACACUGAGGCACGAAGGCCAGGGGAGCAAACGGG
rnacentral:rRNA from 1 species